rnacentral:lncRNA from 1 species
GUUAAACAAUGCAAUGGAUGCUUUUUUAAAAAUGUAUGACCAUGCAGUAUAUGGUGAUGAUAACGAAACAUGUUCAGGUGUUGGUAUGGAAAGUAACUGUACUACAAUCGUAUCUACUCCAACCCCUAUGUCUAUUGAUUCUACUCCAACAGCGACAUCUACUGUUUCUUAUACAAUGCCCGUACAAGCAGUAACACCAGUGCUUACGUUUGAUAUAUAUAGUGAAAUCGAAUCGGAAGAACAAGCUGAGUGUUGUUCAGGUAGAACAAGUGGAGAACAAGUCGAAAACGGAAACAAUUACAACAGUAGUAGCAGUAGCAGCAAUAAUCGAAACUACAUUUUUUCUGAAAAAAUCAAAACAAUUUUGAAAAACUAUUUACUUGGUACAAUAAAAAAUGCAUCCAAACAUAUAGAAAUGAAAAAUAAAGAAAUCGUUUUGUUACAACUUUUAAUUGAGCCAUAUAUUUUAAGAAGGUCUAAAAAACAUGUGUUUAUUGACAUGCCUAAAAAGCAUAGUAUAAUAAUUAAAUUACCCCUAAACAAUACACAACUUAAUUUAUACAAAAAUGAAAUAAUGUCAAAAUUACAACAUACACAUAAGCAUUUAGAAUUUUUAGAAAAACAUAGUAAUAAAGCAGAACUAGAUAUGUUAACAACGUUAUUACAAAAAAAAGAAAAAAAAACAGGUAGUUCAUAUGUUACAACAAGUGAACAAAAUAUACAACCAUCUAAUAAUAUCAAUUCGAAAAAAAAAGAAAGUAGUAUAUCAAGUAGUGACUAUAAAACUGGGUCUGUUGAGAGUAAGGGUGAUAAUGUCCUUGACGACACUGAAACUGUUUCUAGUUCUUCGAGUGACAAUGAUAAUGAUGAUAAAAUAGAUGAAAAAACUAUUAAUGUUGAACAAACAGGAGAUAAUAAAGAAGAUAAUAUAAUUAUUAAUAAAAGAGAUGAUAAUACAAAUACGUCUACAAGUGGUGCAUCUCAAAAUGAUGCUAAUAAUGAUAAAAAGUUAAUUUCCAACAACGACAAUGACAAUGACAACGACAAGAGCAGUACUAAAGGCGUCAAAGAAGUGAGAAAAAAUGUAAUAAAUGCUUCCAUAUUUGUACUAAGAAGAAUAUGUAAUCAUCCUCUGUUACAUAAGUAUUAUUAUUCUGUUGAAGAUAUAAAA